AGUCUUAUAGUCAAAAAUGAUGUCAGAUUGCAAAUUUGGCGGUGGGUAAUCUCUAAGGCUU
rnacentral:tRNA from 1 species